rnacentral:sRNA from 1 species
AGCUUCAAAUUCCGUU